UCUUGACUAGUAUAUCGGUUAGUACACGCGCUUGUCAUAACAGCCUUGUACUGUAAUCUCUUCGCGCGAAAGCUGGGUUCGACUCCCAGGUCGAGAG